UUCAGGAAAUAGUUUAUGCAAUCUACUUUUAUUGUAUUUGUCAUGUUUUGUUAGCGAAGUACUGAUAAUGUAAGUGUUUAUACAUCUUAUCUGUAUGCUUUACUCGAUGAUAUUUUUAUAGGAGUUUUCGAUAUAUCUUUAUCAACUGAGUUUGAAAUUAUCAGCUACCCUUCGAUUUUACGAAAGAAGAUUUCAUCAAGGUUUGAAGAUCAACAAUAGAGUAUUCACAUAUUCAUUAUGUGAAGAGAAAUUAAGAAUCUGUGCAUCAUUGAAGAUGAUCAAGAUCCUAUCAUAUGUCUUCUAUAAAGGAAUAUUGAUCGUCUCAUAUCAAUCUAUAACAACUUUAACCUACUUUAUUUCUUAUCUUCUUCGAUGUCAAUCUAUUUCAUUUUCAAUCUCCUACGGAUGAACCACCCUCAAUUUCGACUUUCAUCAUUGACACCAGACAAACUCAUGACCUGUUUUGUCUAGGAAUCUACUUUCUAUGUAUAUUUAUUGUCCGAUACAUUCUCGAAGACUACUUGCUUGACUAAAAAUGCCUAAGCUCGAAUGAUGGUAGCAAUGCGUUUUUAUUUAUGUAUUUUUUUAGCAAGUGUCCAACGAAUUCUGAAGGGCAAAUAUUUUCUAUAAUAAUAUGGCCUUUAAGGCUGUACAUCAUCUACGUUCAAAGCGUUUCGUUUUGACCGCGAAACUUAUGUCAACCAUCAGUGAAGGAAAUAAAUAUGAGAUUGGAUA